CAAAGGUGAAUAUCGGCUAUAUCUAUCAACAAUUCAAAAUGUUUGAAUUGGAUAUUACUUGCUAAGACAGAUGAAUGAACUUUGUUCCCAGACAAUAUGAUAACAACAAGAACUGACACACAUCUUAGAUUAUUGUGGUAAUGCCACAACACAUCAUAUUUACUAGUGGCAAUAACACAGCAUAUCUUAGAUGUAUGAUUGCCAUGAAACAACA
rnacentral:lncRNA from 1 species